AAAGGUAAGCUACUAAGAGCGAAUGGUGGAUGCCUUGACUGGUAAAGGCGAUGAAGGACGUACUAGACUGCGAUAAGCUACGGGGAGCUGUCAAGAAGCUUUGAUCCGUAGAUUUCCGAAUGGGGCAACCCAAUGUAUAGAGAUAUACAUUACCUAUAUAGGAGCGAACGAGGGGAAUUGAAACAUCUUAGUACCCUCAGGAAAAGAAAUCAAUAGAGAUUGCGUCAGUAGCGGCGAGCGAAAGCGCAAGAGGGCAAACCCAGUGCUUGCACUGGGGGUUGUAGGACUGCAAUGUGCAAGAGGUGAGUUUAGCAGAACAUUCUGGAAAGUAUAGCCAUAGAGGGUGAUAGUCCCGUAUGCGAAAAACAAACCUUAGCUAGCAGUAUCCUGAGUAGGGCGGGACACGAGAAAUCCUGUCUGAAGCUGGGUCGACCACGA
rnacentral:rRNA from 1 species